GAAAAGUGUGACGACUGGUUUGAACAGGAGAAGUAUUCUGCAUUCGGCUUUGCCGUCUCGUGUUGCAUGGCAGCGAGUUAUAUAGACUGUCUAAGCAAAGUUCGUUCAGCUUGCGAGGCAAACCCUGGAAUAACCGAUGAGAAUCUGAUUAUCAGAAAAUCCAACGAAACGAUCGACGAAAUGAAAAAAUUUCAACUGGAAGAGAAAUGUAAUGGGACAAUCACAACAACAUCAUCAUCAACAACAACCGCCGCACCAGCAACAAAUAAUGCCAUGAAGAGAGAUUCCAGCGUGACCCCAAUCUUGUAUGGAAUUUUAUUUUCUGUCUUUAUUCUACAAAAUUUAAAGCUGACAUAUUUUUACGAUGUUUUACUCGUAUUUGUUUGAA